AUACUUACCUGACGCUAGAGGCACCUUGAUCAACUAGGAGGUCCUCUCAGGAUGAGGCCCUUUCAUUGCACUUCGACUGGGUUGACUCCUGCGAUUACCCCUAAUGUGGGUAACUCGAGCGUAUAAUUUCUGGUAGUGGGGACCUGCGUUCGCGCUCGUCCCCU
rnacentral:snRNA from 1 species